AUGUCGUCCUCCUCCGUCGCCGUCGCCGCGCCGGUGGAGCACAUGGUGCUCAUCAAGCUCCGCCCGGAGGCCGUCACCUCGGGGGCCGCCGCCGCGAUGGUCUCCGCGCUGCAGGCCCUGCCCACGCUCGUCCCGGGGGUGUCCUACCUCCACGCGGGCCCCGUGCUCCGCCUCCGCUCGCCGGCCGCCGACGCGCUGGGCCCCACCCACCUCCUCCACUCCCGCUACGCCACCAAGGCCGACCUCGCCGCCUACGCCGCCCACCCGGCUCACGUGGCCGCCGUGCAGGCGCACAUCGUCCCCAACGCGCUCGACACCACCGCCGUCGACUGGGUCAACGCCGCCGAGUCCCCGUCACCCGUCGGGCCCUGCGCCGCCGUGCGGCUCACCCUCGCGAAGGUCAAGGAGGGGGCGGACGUCGGGCAGGUCGUUGAGAAGGUGGCCAAGGCUAGCAAGGACGCUGGGGCUGGGGUGGCCAGGGUCAGCUUCGGGGAGAACUUCUCGCCGGCGCGGGCCAAGGGGUUCCAGUUCGUGAUGGUGGCCGUGUUCGACAGCGUGGAGGAGCUGGAGGCCGUGGAGGCGGACGGCAAGGUGGAGGAAGCCAAGGCCGCGCUCAGGCCCAUGCUCGACGAGGUCAUGGUGCUGGACUUCGUCGUCGACGAUGCGGCAGCGGCGAGCCUCUGA
rnacentral:rRNA from 1 species